CGACCGGCGCACGGGUGCGUAACGCGUAUGCAACCUACCUUUAACAGGGGGAUAACACUGAGAAAUUGGUACUAAUACCCCAUAAUAUCAUAGAAGGCAUCUUUUAUGGUUGAAAAUUCCGAUGGUUAGAGAUGGGCAUGCGUUGUAUUAGCUAGUUGGCGGGGUAACAGCCCACCAAGACGAUGAUAGGUAGGGGUUCUGAGAGGAAGGUCCCCCACAUUGGAACUGAGACACGGUCCAA
rnacentral:rRNA from 1 species